UACAGAGGUCUCAAGCGUUGUUCGGAUUCAUUGGGCGUAAAGGGUGUGUAGGUGGCGCCGUAAGUCGGGUGUGAAAUUUCGGAGCUUAACUCCGAAACUGCAUUCGAUACUGCGGUGCUUGAGGACUGGAGAGGAGACUGGAAUUCAUGGUGUAGCAGUGAAAUGCGUAGAUAUCUGGAGGAAUACCGGUGGCGAAGGCGGCGAUCCUGGACCGGCAUUGACGCUGAGUGAGCGAAAGCUAAGGGGAGCAAACGGGG
rnacentral:rRNA from 1 species